CCUACGGGAGACAGCAGUGGGGAAUAUUGGGCAAUGGGCGCAAGCCUGACCCAGCAACGCCGCGUGAAGGAAGAAGGCUUUCGGGUUGUAAACUUCUUUUGUCAGGGAAGAGUAGUACACGGUACCUGACGAAUCAGCCACGGCUAACUACGUGCCAGCAGCCGCGGUAAUACGGAGGUGGCAAGCGUUGUCCGGAUUUACUGGGUGUAAAGGGCGUGUAGCCGGGUUGACAAGUCAGAUGUGAAAUCCUGCGGCUUAACCGCAGAACUGCAUUUGAAACUGUUGAUCUUGAGUACUGGAGAGGCAGACGGAAUUCCUAGUGUAGCGGUGAAAUGCGUAGAUAUUAGGAGGAACACCGGUGGCGAAGGCGGUCUGCUGGACAGCAACUGACGGUGAGGCGCGAAAGCGUGGGGAGCAAACAGGAUUAGAUACCCGAGUAGUC
rnacentral:rRNA from 1 species